AGAGUUUGAUCAUGGCUCAGAACGAACGCUGGCGGCAGGCUUAACACAUGCAAGUCGAACGCGUGUAGCAAUACACGAGUGGCGCACGGGUGAGUAACGCGUGGAUAUCUGCCUUUUGGUUCGGAAUAACCCCGGGAAACUGGGGCUAAUACCGGAUGGUUCCUUCGGGAUAAAGAUUUAUCGCCAAAAGAUGAGUCCGCGUACGAUUAGCUAGUUGGUGAGGUAAUGGCUCACCAAGGCGACGAUCGUUAGCUGGUCUGAGAGGACGAUCAGCCACACUGGGACUGAGACACGGCCCAGACUCCUACGGGAGGCAGCAGUGGGGAAUAUUGGACAAUGGGGGCAACCCUGAUCCAGCCAUGCCGCGUGAGUGAUGAAGGCCUUCGGGUUGUAAAGCUCUUUUGGCGGGGACGAUGAUGACGGUACCCGCAGAAUAAGCCCCGGCUAACUUCGUGCCAGCAGCCGCGGUAAGACGAAGGGGGCUAGCGUUGUUCGGAAUUACUGGGCGUAAAGCGCGUGUAGGCGGUUGCCCAAGUCGGAUGUGAAAGCCUUGAGCUCAACUCAAGAAAUGCAUUCGGUACUGGGUGACUAGAGGACCGGAGAGGAUAGUGGAAUUCCCAGUGUAGUGGUGAAAUACGUAGAGAUUGGGAAGAACACCAGUGGCGAAGGCGGCUAUCUGGACGGUUUCUGACGCUAAGACGCGAAAGCGUGGGGAGCAAACAGGAUUAGAUACCCCCGUAGUCC
rnacentral:rRNA from 1 species